ensembl:lncRNA
CCGGCGGCCCAGCGCGCAUGCUCCCCCCCCCCACCGCCCCGAGUAACCUGGAGAUUUAAAAGCCGCUGGCCGGCGCGCGUGGGGGACCGCGGGGACGAGCUCGCCCGCGCCGGCCGGGGUGACAGCUGCGCGCGCCUCGGCCAGGGGCAGGAUGAGUCACCGCGGCGCGCACGGUCGGGUCUUCGGGGAGCCGGGCAGGGGCCCCGCCAGCUUUCGUGGGGAAAGAAGGGGACGCAGUCUUGGGGCGAGACUUCGACAGAGCCGGCGCUGGGGACGUGCUCCUGGGCCCUUCCCAGCCCCUGCCCGGUAGGGCAGGGGGCAGCGCGCCGCAGAGGGCCCCCACCCCCACCCCCGUCCCGAGCUCGGGCUCUCCGACGGCCGGCAGGCGUGAGGCGAUGACCCGGCGCCCCGUGGCUUCCAGCCCCCAGGAGCCCGCAGAGUAUGUAGUUAAGGCUGGCCUGGAACUUACUGUGUAGCCCAGAUGGGCCUCAACCUUGAAGUGGUCCCUGGUUGCAGCCUCCGGAGUGCUAGGGUCACAGGCGUGCACCACCGUGCCUUGCAUCGCUGACUG